rnacentral:rRNA from 1 species
UACAGAGGGUGCGAGCGUUAAUCGGAAUUACUGGGCGUAAAGCGCGCGUAGGCGGCUUUGCAAGUCGGGUGUGAAAUCCCCAGGCUUAACCUGGGAACUGCAUUCGAGACUGCAUUGCUAGAGUAUGGGAGAGGGAAGUGGAAUUUCCGGUGUAGCGGUGAAAUGCGUAGAUAUCGGAAGGAACAUCAGUGGCGAAAGCGGCACUCUGGGCCGGUACUGACGCUGAGGAGCGAAAGCGUGGGGAGCAAACAGG